rnacentral:rRNA from 1 species
AUUGAACGCUGGCGGAAUGCUUUACACAUGCAAGUCGAACGGUAGAAGGGGGCAACCCCUUGAGAGUGGCGAACGGGUGAGUAAUAUAUCGGAACGUGCCCCAGUCGUGGGGGAUAACGUAGCGAAAGUUACGCUAAUACCGCAUACGAUCUAAGGAUGAAAGCGGGGGACUCGCAAGAGCCUCGCGCGAUUGGAGCGGCCGAUAUCAGAUUAGGUAGUUGGUGGGGUAAAGGCUCACCAAGCCAACGAUCUGUAGCUGGUCUGAGAGGACGACCAGCCACACUGGAACUGAGACACGGUCCAGACUCCCUACGGGAGGCAGCAGUGGGGAAUUUUGGACAAUGGACGCAAGUCUGAUCCAGCCAUUCCGCGUGCAGGAUGAAGGCCCCUCGGGUUGUAAACUGCUUUUGUACGGACGAAAAGGUUUCUAUUAAUACUAGGAGCUCA